GACGAACGCUGGCGGCGUGCUUAACACAUGCAAGUCGAGCGGUAAGGCCCUUUCGUAGGGUACACGAGCGGCGAACGGGUGAGUAACACGUGGGUGACCUGCCCUCAGCUCUGGGAUAAGCCUGGGAAACCGGGUCUAAUACUGGAUAUGACUCCAUGACGCAUGUUGUGGGUGGAAAGCCUUGUGCGGCUGAGGAUGGGCCCGCGGCCUAUCAGCUUGUUGGUGGGUGAGUGGCCUACC
rnacentral:rRNA from 1 species